UUCCAGACUCCUACGGGAGGCAGCAGUGGGGAAUAUUGCACAAUGGGGGAAACCCUGAUGCAGCGACGCCGCGUGAGUGAAGAAGUAUUUCGGUAUGUAAAGCUCUAUCAGCAGGGAAGAAAAUGACGGUACCUGACUAAGAAGCCCCGGCUAACUACGUGCCAGCAGCCGCGGUAAUACGUAGGGGGCAAGCGUUAUCCGGAUUUACUGGGUGUAAAGGGGGCGCAGACGGCGAUGCAAGCCAGGAGUGAAAGCCCGGGGCCCAACCCCGGGACUGCUCUUGGAACUGCGUGGCUGGAGUGCAGGAGGGGCAGGCGGAAUUCCUGGUGUAGCGGUGAAAUGCGUAGAUAUCAGGAGGAACACCGGUGGCGAAGGCGGCCUGCUGGACUGCAACUGACGUUGAGGCCCGAAAGCGUGGGGAGCAAACAGGAUUAGAUACCCCCGUA
rnacentral:rRNA from 1 species